rnacentral:misc_RNA from 1 species
AUCUAUGAUUAGGUACUUGAACUCCCCUUCCUUAUCAACUCCUUCAUAUUCCCCUUGUGGGGUUUUCGUUUUAAGAUAAUUUGACUGCAUAGUGAUGGUUUGUUUGAACUACUGCUAACAAUUUACAUUAACAUUUGAUUAGAAUCUCUAUUGUUGUUAUUGUUUAGUGUGCACACAAACAGAUUUCUAUUUACAUAGCUGUAGUUGGUUGGAGUCGUACU